GUGCUCAUUUCAGCACACAAAUACUAAAAUUGGAAUGAUAAAGAGAUUAGCAUGGCCCCUGCACAAGGAUGGAAAGAAAAUUUGUGAAUCAUUCUAUGUUAAA